UGUGCCUCGUUUAUACUAAGUGACCCAUAGGUUGAGGAGGCUACCACAUGCAAGGAAGGCAGCAGACGCGCAAUUGACCCACUCCCGACGCGGGAAGGUAGUGACGACAAAUAACAAUACAGGACUCUUUAGAGGCCCUGUAAUUGUAAUGAGUCCACUUGAAAUCCUUUAACUCUGAUCAAUUGGAGGGAAGUCUGGUGCAGAGCCACUGACGCCUGCUUCUGCUCGCACA